ACUGGAGCUGGAUGAUGGCUUUUCACACUACAAUGUCAGUUAAUUUACUAAUUCCACGGUGCUGAUUCUUUUUCUCCAAAACAUAAUCCUCUCAGUACUGGUUUAUGAAUCGGAAUUUAACUUGUUUGGAUAUGCAUUACUGCGAUGUGGGAGCCCAACCCCAUCACUUCUGCUCUAUAGAUUUCUUUUUUUCAAGUCUGUCCCCAUUUCUGUCUUGUCUAUACGCGGAAAACACUUCGUGCAUCCCAUAAAAUCCGAAUCAAAAGUGAAAAUAGCCCAACGUCCCCCGCAGGAAUCCCCCGCAGCCCUUCCCGGCAGCGCCAAGUCUCUUCGGGUCCCUCCAACUUCAAAGAAAAGCGCUCUGGUCUGCUCAGAGGCCCCCAUCGCGGACCGAGCUCCUCAACCGCAUCCAGCGCCGACGGGGAAGCUAUAGAAGCGCGGGCGGUGGCCACGUGACUAUUUGGGGAAGAUUAUCCCAAGACCGUCCAAAGUUUGAAAAGUGAGUGGGUGCAGUUGGCGGCUCUCUUUCAUGCCUCUAGUUCAGUGAUGGCGAACCUUUUAGAGACCGAGUGCCUAAACUGCAACCCAAAACCCACUUAUGCAUCGAGUGCCGGCUAUCCAUUUCAUGUUUGAGGCCUGGAGAAUCACAUAUUCACAAGGAACGUUUGCUAUAGAAGACUGUCUGUGGAACCCAAAGAAAUAGCAAAUAACAUGACAAAUAGAAAACUAGAAGUGAAUUUUGUAUCACGUAUUGCAUUUUUUUCAUUGUUUUAUUUACCUGUAAAAUGAACUAUGAGGAAUGUGUACUUCUAACCCCGAGAGACAAAUAUAUAGAUGUCUUAAGA